AAGAAGCUUGCUUCAUGUAAUCUUAGUGGCGGACGGGUGAGUAACGUGUGGGCAACUUGUCCUUUACAGGGGAAUAAUCAUUGGAAACGAUGACUAAUACCGCAUGAAGUCGCUUUAAGGCAUCUUAGAGUGAAAAAAGGAGAAAUCCGGUAAAGGAGAGGCCCGCAUCUGAUUAGCUAGUUGGUGAGAUAAUAGCCCACCAAGGCGACGAUCAGUAGCCGACCUGAGAGGGUGAUCGGCCACAUUGGGACUGAGACACGGCCCAAACUCC
rnacentral:rRNA from 1 species